rnacentral:rRNA from 1 species
AUGCCAGCUAGGAUCUGCUCGUCCAAGGUGAUAUUGGCAUCCCUCUGCUUGGCGGAGUCUGCAGAAGGUCAGGAUUCUACAUUCCUCUGCCUUGAUGAAUAUUGGAAGGAUGUCGGUAAACAACAUCAAGUAGACCAGCAGCAAGGUAAUACUCAUUCUUGUCAUUAUAACUUCAUGGGUCCUGAUGCCUUUUGCCAUUUGGCUUCCAUUGCAAAAGAGUAUCAUGUGAGGCACUUCUCCUUUUUUGCCCCAAAACUGUUUCCCCUUUGCUGCAUGUUUUUGUUUUCUGGGAUGACAGAAAACUAG